UGGGGAAUAUUGCACAAUGGGCGCAAGCCUGAUGCAGCCAUCCCGCGUGUGCGAUGAAGGCCUUCGGGUUGUAAAGCACUUUUGGCAGGAAAGAAACGUCGCGGGUUAAUACCCCGCGAAACUGACGGUACCUGCAGAAUAAGCACCGGCUAACUACGUGCCAGCAGCCGCGGUAAUACGUAGGGUGCAAGCGUUAAUCGGAAUUACUGGGCGUAAAGCGUGCGCAGGCGGUUCGGAAAGAAAGAUGUGAAAUCCCAGAGCUUAACUUUGGAACUGCAUUUUUAAACUACCGGGCUAGAGUGUGUCAGAGGGAGGUGGAAUUCCGCGUGUAGCAGUGAAAUGCGUAGAUAUGCGGAGGAACACCGAUGGCGAAGGCAGCCUCCUGGGAUAACACUGACGCUCAUGCACGAAAGCGUGGGGAGCAAACAGGAUUAGAUACCCUGGUAGUCCACGCCCUAAAACGAUGUCAACUAGCUGUUGGGGCCUUCGGGCCUUGGUAGCGCAGCUAACGCGUGAAGUUGACCGCCUGGGGAGUACGGUCGCAAGAUUAAAACUCAAAGGAAUUGACGGGGUCAUAGCUGUUUCCUG
rnacentral:rRNA from 1 species